AUUGAACGCUGGCGGCAGGCCUAACACAUGCAAGUCGAACGAGUGGCGGACGGGUGAGCAAUGUCUGGGAACCUGCCCGACGGAGGGGGAUAACUACUGGAACCGGUAGCUAAUAUCGCAUACCAUCGGAUGUGCCCAGUUGGGAUUAGCUAGUAGGUGGGGUAAUGGUUCACCUUGGCGACGAUCCCUAGCUGGUCUGAGAGGAUGACCGGCCGCACUGGAACUGAGACACGGUCCAGACUCAUACGGGAGGCAGCAGUAGGGAAUGUUGCACAAUGGGCGCAAGCCUGGUGCAGCCAUGCCGCGUGUAUGAAGAGGGCCUUCGGGUUGUAAAGUACUUUCGUCGAGGAAGCGUUACUCGCAAAGAAAGCACCGGCUAACUCCGUGCCAGCAGCCGCGGUAAUAC
rnacentral:rRNA from 1 species